rnacentral:rRNA from 1 species
AAUUCGAUUAGUUUGAUCCUGGCUCAGGACGAACGCUGGCGGCGUGCUUAACACAUGCAAGUCGAGCGAGGCCCUUCCUUCGGGAAGGAGCCCUAGCGGCGAACGGGUGAGUAACACGUGGGCAACCUGCCCCUAGCACUGGGAUAACUCCGGGAAACCGGGGCUAAUACCGGAUAUGACCUUCGAGGGCAUCCUCGCUGGUGUAAAGGAUUCUGGCUAGGGAUGGGCCCGCGGCCUAUCAGCUUGUUGGUGGGGUAAUGGCCUACCAAGGCGACGACGGGUAGCCGGCCUGAGAGGGCGACCGGCCACACUGGGACUGAGACACGGCCCAGACUCCUACGGGAGGCAGCAGUGGGGAAUAUUGCACAAUGGGCGAAAGCCUGAUGCAGCGACGCCGCGUGAGGGAUGAAUGCCUUCGGGUUGUAAACCCCUUUCAGCAGGGACGAAGCGAAAGUGACGGUACCUGCAGAAGAAGCACCGGCCAACUACGUGCCAGCAGCCGCGGUAAUACGUAAGGUGCAAGCGUUGUCCGGAAUUAUUGGGCGUAAAGAGCUCGUAGGCGGUUUGUCGCGUCGGCUGUGAAAACCUGGGGCUCAACCCCGGGCCUGCAGCCGAUACAGGCAAACUAGAAUUCGGUAGGGGAGACUGGAAUUCCUGGUGUAGCGGUGAAAUGCGCAGAUAUCAGGAGGAACACCGGUGGCGAAGGCGG